rnacentral:misc_RNA from 1 species
AGCCUCUCCACAAUCCCUAUAGGAUUCCUCGGAUCGAACGUCGCGUUAAACGACAACGUUUUAGAUGAAGACGACGAUGACGGAUUCGGCUUUGGGUUGGUCUCCUUUCCAUCCUCCUGAUACUCAGAAAUUAUCGCCAUGACGAUUGGCUUGUCCUGGACUCGGUUGACUCGCUGAGUGAAAACUGCGAAACCGCUACAGAAACGAGAAGUAGAACUAGCUUGACUUAUAAUUU